CGUCACACACUGCCCCAGAAAAGUGUCGGAGAGUUUGCACAGUCUUGGUACCUUCUGCUAGCCAGCCACACACUGUGCAACUGGCUGAUGCCGGAUAAGGCAGCCCGACUUCCACGGCUCUCAGCUGCCAGAGGAGAAAAUAUUUUGUGUUCUUUGAAACAUAACUUGGCACCAGGGAAGUUAUCGUAAAAACCAGAAGCAUUUUAAUAUUCCUAAGCGUGUUGAUGUUGUUUAAAACGAACACAAGCUUCUUUAUGUAAAGUGAUUUUAAUACCACAUUGCCACAAAGACAGUGUGAUGUAUAAAAUGUAGUUUAUCAAAAGUG